UUAAGCGACUAAGCGUACACGGUGGAUGCCCUGGCAGUCAGAGGCGAUGAAGGACGUGCUAAUCUGCGAAAAGCGUCGGUAAGGUGAUAUGAACCGUUAUAACCGGCGAUGUCCGAAUGGGGAAACCCAGUGCAAUUCGUUGCACUAUCGUUAACUGAAUACAUAGGUUAACGAGGCGAACCGGGGGAACUGAAACAUCUAAGUACCCCGAGGAAAAGAAAUCAACCGAGAUUCCCCCAGUAGCGGCGAGCGAACGGGGAGCAGCCCAGAGUCUGAAUCAGCUUGUGUGUUAGUGGAACGGUCUGGAAAGUCCGACGGUACAGGGUGAUAGUCCCGUACACCAAAAUGCACAGGCUGUGAACUCGAAGAGUAGGGCGGGACACGUGGUAUCCUGUCUGAAUAUGGGGGGACCAUCCUCCAAGGCUAAAUACUCCUGACUGACCGAUAGUGAACCAGUACCGUGAGGGAAAGGCGAAAAGAACCCCGGCGAGGGGAGUGAAAAAGAACCUGAAACCGUGUACGUACAAGCAGUGGGAGCACCUUCGGGUGUGACUGCGUACCUUUUGUAUAAUGGGUCAGCGACUUAUAUUCUGUAGCAAGGUUAACCGUAUAGGGGAGCCGCAGGGAAACCGAGUCUUAACUGGGCGUUAAGUUGCAGGGUAUAGACCCGAAACCCGGUGAUCUAGCCAUGGGCAGGUUGAAGGUUGGGUAACACUAACUGGAGGACCGAACCGACUAAUGUUGAAAAAUUAGCGGAUGACUUGUGGCUGGGGGUGAAAGGCCAAUCAAACCGGGAGAUAGCUGGUUCUCCCCGAAAGCUAUUUAGGUAGCGCCUCGUGAACUCAUCUUCGGGGGUAGAGCACUGUUUCGGCUAGGGGGUCAUCCCGACUUACCAACCCGAUGCAAACUACGAAUACCGAAGAAUGUUAUCACGGGAGACACACGGCGGGUGCUAACGUCCGUCGUGAAGAGGGAAACAACCCAGACCGCCAGCUAAGGUCCCAAAGUCAUGGUUAAGUGGGAAACGAUGUGGGAAGGCACAGACAGCCAGGAUGUUGGCUUAGAAGCAGCCAUCAUUUAAAGAAAGCGUAAUAGCUCACUGGUCGAGUCGGCCUGCGCGGAAGAUGUAACGGGGCUAAACCAUGCACCGAAGCUGCGGCAGCGACACUAUGUGUUGUUGGGUAGGGGAGCGUUCUGUAAGCCUGCGAAGGUGUGCUGUGAGGCAUGCUGGAGGUAUCAGAAGUGCGAAUGCUGACAUAAGUAACGAUAAAGCGGGUGAAAAGCCCGCUCGCCGGAAGACCAAGGGUUCCUGUCCAACGUUAAUCGGGGCAGGGUGAGUCGACCCCUAAGGCGAGGCCGAAAGGCGUAGUCGAUGGGAAACAGGUUAAUAUUCCUGUACUUGGUGUUACUGCGAAGGGGGGACGGAGAAGGCUAUGUUAGCCGGGCGACGGUUGUCCCGGUUUAAGCAUGUAGGCUGGUUGUCCAGGCAAAUCCGGAUAAUCAAGGCUGAGGUGUGAUGACGAGGCACUACGGUGCUGAAGUAACAAAUGCCCUGCUUCCAGGAAAAGCCUCUAAGCAUCAGGUAACAUUAAAUCGUACCCCAAACCGACACAGGUGGUCAGGUAGAGAAUACCAAGGCGCUUGAGAGAACUCGGGUGAAGGAACUAGGCAAAAUGGUGCCGUAACUUCGGGAGAAGGCACGCUGGUGUGUAGGUGAAGUCCCUGCGGAUGGAGCUGAGACCAGUCGAAGAUACCAGCUGGCUGCAACUGUUUAUUAAAAACACAGCACUGUGCAAACACGAAAGUGGACGUAUACGGUGUGACGCCUGCCCGGUGCCGGAAGGUUAAUUGAUGGGGUUAUCCGUAAGGAGAAGCUCUUGAUCGAAGCCCCGGUAAACGGCGGCCGUAACUAUAACGGUCCUAAGGUAGCGAAAUUCCUUGUCGGGUAAGUUCCGACCUGCACGAAUGGCGUAAUGAUGGCCAGGCUGUCUCCACCCGAGACUCAGUGAAAUUGAACUCGCUGUGAAGAUGCAGUGUACCCGCGGCAAGACGGAAAGACCCCGUGAACCUUUACUAUAGCUUGACACUGAACAUUGAGCCUUGAUGUGUAGGAUAGGUGGGAGGCUUUGAAGCGUGGACGCCAGUCUGCGUGGAGCCAACCUUGAAAUACCACCCUUUAAUGUUUGAUGUUCUAACGUUGGCCCCUGACCGGGGUUGCGGACAGUGUCUGGUGGGUAGUUUGACUGGGGCGGUCUCCUCCCAAAGCGUAACGGAGGAGCACGAAGGUUAGCUAAUCCUGGUCGGACAUCAGGAGGUUAGUGCAAUGGCAUAAGCUAGCUUGACUGCGAGCGUGACGGCGCGAGCAGGUGCGAAAGCAGGUCAUAGUGAUCCGGUGGUUCUGAAUGGAAGGGCCAUCGCUCAACGGAUAAAAGGUACUCCGGGGAUAACAGGCUGAUACCGCCCAAGAGUUCAUAUCGACGGCGGUGUUUGGCACCUCGAUGUCGGCUCAUCACAUCCUGGGGCUGAAGUAGGUCCCAAGGGUAUGGCUGUUCGCCAUUUAAAGUGGUACGCGAGCUGGGUUUAGAACGUCGUGAGACAGUUCGGUCCCUAUCUGCCGUGGGCGCUGGAGAAUUGAGGGGGGCUGCUCCUAGUACGAGAGGACCGGAGUGGACGCAUCACUGGUGUUCGGGUUGUCAUGCCAAUGGCACUGCCCGGUAGCUAAAUGCGGAAGAGAUAAGUGCUGAAAGCAUCUAAGCACGAAACUUGCCCCGAGAUGAGUUCUCCCUGAGACUUUAAGUCUCCUGAAGGAACGUUAAAGACGAUGACGUUGAUAGGCCGGGUGUGUAAGCGCAGCGAUGCGUUGAGCUAACCGGUACUAAUGAACCGUGAGGCUUAACCU
rnacentral:rRNA from 1 species